rnacentral:rRNA from 1 species
CGUAGGGUGCGAGCGUUAAUCGGAAUUACUGGGCGUAAAGCGUGCGCAGGCGGUUUUGUAAGACAGAUGUGAAAUCCCCGGGCUCAACCUGGGACCUGCAUUUGUGACUGCAAGGCUAGAGUACGGUAGAGGGGGAUGGAAUUCCGCGUGUAGCAGUGAAAUGCGUAGAUAUGCGGAGGAACACCGAUGGCGAAGGCAAUCCCCUGGACCUGUACUGACGCUCAUGCACGAAAGCGUGGGGAGCAAACAGGAUUAGAUACCCUGGUAGUCCACGCCCUAAACGAUGUCAACUGGUUGUUGGGUCUUUACCGACUCAGUAACGAAGCUAACGCGUGAAGUUGACCGCCUGGGAGUACGGCCGCAAGGUUG